rnacentral:rRNA from 1 species
ACAAGUAUUGAAGGUGAUGCCUGCCCGGUGACUCACGUUCAACGGCCGCGGUAUCCUAACCGUGCAAAGGUAGCGCAAUCAAUUGUCCCAUAAAUCGAGACUAGUAUGAAUGGCUAAACGAGGUCUUAACUGUCUCUUACAGGCAAUCGGUGAAAUUGAUCUCCCUGUACGAAAGCAGGGAUAAACCCAUAAGACGAGAAGACCCUGUGGAACUUUAAAACCAGCAACCACCUUAAAACACAUACCCACCUACUAGGUUCACUGUCACAUAAGCCUCUGGUUGCCGUUUUUCGGUUGGGGCGACCUUGGAGCAAAACAAAACCUCCAAAAAUUAGACCACACCUCUAGACUAAGAGCAACCCCUCAACGUGCUAAUAGUACCCAGACCCAAUAUAAUUGAUCAAUGGACCAAGCUACCCCAGGGAUAACAGCGCAAUCUCCCUCGAGAGUCCGUAUCGACGGGGAGGUUUACGACCUCGAUGUUGGAUC